UACAGAGAGUGCAAACGUUGUUCGGAAUUACUGGGCGUAAAGCGCGCGUAGGCGGACCUGCAAGUCGGGGGUGAAAGCCCGAGGCUCAACCUCGGAACUGCCUUCGAUACUGCGGGUCUCGAGUCCGGGAGAGGUGAGUGGAAUUCCUAGUGUAGAGGUGAAAUUCGUAGAUAUUAGGAAGAACACCAGUGGCGAAGGCGGCUCACUGGCUCGGUACUGACGCUGAGGCGCGAAAGCGUGGGGAGCAAACAGG
rnacentral:rRNA from 1 species